ACCACCAUCCGUCCAUCCAUCACUCCAAACAAUUAACAGAUCUAAGAACGAUCUAAGAAAAAGAAAGACUAAAGAAAGCACACAGUAGAUUUAUAGGUUAGGAGGCAGGCAGAAAGAAUUAAUCUUUUCCCCAGAUGUUUGCGUAUGCCAAAAUUUUCUCACAGCAUCAAGUGGAAGUGGCUGGUAUAAUUAGUUGCACCAACUCAACAGCACAAAGAAGAGGAGGGCCAGCCAAAGAUUUCUCGAGUACAUGGACACCAUGAAGAUAUAAAUGGUGAAGUAAAGAAGAAACAAAAGCAUUCUAAUCUGUCUUCCUUUCUCUUUUGUGUUGCAUUCCUAGCCUACGUUUCCUUCUUGGACGGCAGAGAAGACCGUCUCCCAGAAAGAAAGAAAACAAGAAGCAGAUCGAAGCAACCAAAGAGUAAAUAAAUCAUCAUCAGGGGUAGUCUCGCCAGCAGAUGAGCAUGGUGACGCAGCGACGCAUGAUGUAGAACCUGGCCCUCUGCUCCUUCACCAACCUCGUGCACCGGCUCGACAACGACCGCGACGUCCUCCCCUCCCUCUCGCUCGCCGGCCCAUUAAACAAAGGUCCCCUGCCCUCUCCCACCGCCACCCUCCUGCUCCCCUUCUUCGACAGCUUCCACUUCUCAUCCAUGUAAUCCUCCAUCCUCCAAGUUUUCUUCCCUUCUUCUCGCUUGUAUAAAUGAUGAUAUUAUGAAAGAUAUCAAAACAAGAGAGAACAAGCUAAGACGGGGCAGAAAGACUCGGUUUUGUGUGGGUGGCUAGAUGAAGAGGAGACUGUGGGGGUCGGGGGUGGCCGUAGAUACUCUCUUAUAGAGGAAGUGGAGGUGGGAUCCCACCUCUCCUUCUUCUUUUUCUUUUUCUUUUUUUGUUUUCUAAACGGAAAUCUAUCUUGAAAAGGAUCUGUUCCCGAGACUGGCGUCAGAGGUGCCCCUUAGCUUGGUAAAACUACGAGAGAGAACUAAACGGAAGGAUCUAGUCGGCACUCCCUGCGGGCCGAGGUUAAAAACAAAGAUUAAACUUAAACCAGAAGGC
rnacentral:lncRNA from 1 species